rnacentral:rRNA from 1 species
CCUACGGGAGGCAGCAGUAGGGAAUCUUCCUCAAUGGGGGAAACCCUGAUGCAGCAACGCCGCGUGGAGGAUGAAGGUCUUCGGAUUGUAAACCCCUUUUGUUAGAGAAGAUAAUGACGGUAUCUAACGAAUAACCACCGGCUAACUCCGUGCCAGCAGCCGCGGUAAUACGGAGUGCGCAAGCGUUACUCGGUAUCACUGGGCGGAAAGGGCGCGUAGGCGGGAUAGCAAGUCAGAUGUGAAAUCCUAUGGCUUAACCAUAGAACUGCAUUUGAAACUGUGAUUCUUGAGUAUGGGAGAGGUAGGUGGAAUGCUUGGUGUAGGGGUAAAAUGCGUAGAGAUCAAGAAGAAUACUCAUGGCGAAGGCGACCUGCUAGACCAUAACUGACGCUGAUGUGCGAAAGCGUGGGUAGCAAACAGGAUUAGAUACCCGUGUAGUC